GUUUGAUCCUGGCUCAGGAUGAACGCUGGCGGCGUGCCUAAUACAUGCAAGUCGAGCGGACUUGAUGGGAGCUUGCUCCCUGAUAGUCAGCGGCGGACGGGUGAGUAACACGUGGGCAACCUACCUUUAAGACUGGGAUAACUUCGGGAAACCGGAGCUAAUACCGGAUAACAUGUAAGACCACAUGGUCUUACAUUAAAAGAUGGCUUCGGCUAUCACUUAUAGAUGGGCCCGCGGCGCAUUAGCUAGUUGGUGAGGUAAUGGCUCACCAAGGCGACGAUGCGUAGCCGACCUGAGAGGGUGAUCGGCCACACUGGGACUGAGACACGGCCCAGACUCCUACGGGAGGCAGCAGUGGGGAAUAUUGGACAAUGGGCGCAAGCCUGAUCCAGCAAUGCCGCGUGGGUGAAGAAGGUCUUCGGAUUGUAAAGCCCUUUCGACAGGGACGAUGAUGACGGUACCUGUAGAAGAAGCCCCGGCUAACUUCGUGCCAGCAGCCGCGGUAAUACGAAGGGGGCUAGCGUUGCUCGGAAUUACUGGGCGUAAAGGGCGCGUAGGCGGCUCUGUUA
rnacentral:rRNA from 1 species